GACGAACGCUGGCGGCGUGCUUAACACAUGCAAGUCGAACGGUAAGGCCCUUUCGGGGGUACCCGAGUUGCGAACGGGGGGGUAACACGUGGGUUAUCUGCGCUUCACUUUGGGAUAAGCCUGGGAAACUGGGUCUAAUACCCGAUAGGACUACGCGAUGCAUGUCGUGUGGUGGAAAGCUUUUGCGGUGUGGGAUGGGCCCGCGGCCCUUCAGCUUGUUGGUGGGGUGAUGGGAUUCCAAGGCGACGACGGGUCGCUGGCCUGAGGGGGUGUCCGGCCACGCUGCGACUGAGAUAAGGCACAGACUCCUACGGGACGCAACGGUGCGGAAUAUUACACUGUGGGAGGAAGCCUGAUGCAGCGACGCCGCGUGGGGGAUGACAGCCUUCGGGUUGUAAACCCCUUUCAGCACAGACGAGACGUAAGUGACGGUACGUGCAGAAGAAGCACCGGCCAACUACGUG
rnacentral:rRNA from 1 species